UGUAGAAAAUCUUACGUCUUUUCAAAAAUGGCUACAUUUGGCAGUAUUAUUUUCCUCUCCUAUCAUGCUUACCUUGAGCCCCCUUGUUCAUGUUUCUAAGCAUGUUGAAACCUACUUUUGGGCGUGGCUAAAUUUGCAGAGGGUUUGGUUACUAUGAUGCAAACCUGCUACCAGUCCAUCAGACAGACUGACAGACAAGCUGCAAGGAAAGCAUAGGUCUAAUGGAUCUUUAAGUUGGAAUGGAAAAUUUGUUUCGAAAUCAUCAGAAAAAAAAAAAAAAACACCUGCCAGAAUAUUGCAUUUAGAUGUAUUUAAGUCCUAUUAGCCAAGAGAAUAUUGAAGGAACAGGUUUGAAACCAUACUCCGUUGGAGUAGCAUCAGACAAGGGAAGUGUGAAUGUGUCAUAACUUGGCCAGGACCAGCUGCAAAGCAUGCUGGGACCUCAGAGCAUGAAGCAUUUGGAACAGGAACAGCUGAUGGGACUAGAGUGGAAAGAUGGCCACUGGUGGAGAGAGGGGCCCCAGUCGGCCAAAUGGACAUAAGAAAUUCUGAUGGACACUUCUCUCUUCUGAGUAUUGCUGAGUCAGUUGGAGUUCAUGACACUUUUUGAUACCACUCUGAAGGAGCCAGGGGAGAUGCUAAGUCAUACAAGGCCUGAACUUACCCUCAAUGAGUUAACAGUGCAAUUGAAGAAAAGAAGUUACUCUGCAUUCACUGUGAGCCAAACAUAAUGGUUGUCAACACACAGGGACUUGAGCACAAGACUUUGGAAUACAUGUCCAGUUCUUUCUCCAUCGGGGUAAAUCCUGUCUGAAGGCCAGAGUCUGAAGUGACUGGAUUCCUUGGAAACAUCUGGAGUACUUUCCUAGCCACAAGACACUGGUAUACUACAACUUCACAUUUGUACUGAAAUUCCUUUUUAUGUGGAGAAGAUUGGUUUUAACCUUCACUCUGCCUUGACUAGGUGAACUUGGGCAAGCCACAUGUCUUUUAGAAGCUUCAGUUUCUGGAUUUGUAAGUGAUGGGUUGAUGUUCAUACUCUAUCAGUCCUUUUCUAGUGGCAGCCUUGUAUUUUUCUGGCAAAUUCUUUGAUAUAGAGCUCUGCAGAAUUAGGAGAGUAUAUAAGGAUCUCUCGACUCCUCCCACCUCAUUCCCUCUAGUUGCCUGUGAGGGUUGCAUUCUCUACGGAAGAAUUUUAAAGAAAUCAUACAACUAACUAAAAGCCUACCUUCUUUCUCAAGUCUAAACAACAUUAGUGAUAAAACCUUAUCCCCACCCUGAUAUAAAUAGCCCUGUCCCUCUAUUUGUUGAUAGGCUAAUGCCUUAUUCACAGGGCACACUGCUGUUGCUGGUAGACACUGUUAUGAUCUGUCUUAUAAACGAAUGGGUUAAAGACACAAAGAAGGCAACUGUCAGAACCCAUGCCAAGCAGAAAGGGCCAAGGUUUGGAUUUCCUAAAUCUUCAUCCAGGGCUCUCUACUCCGAGUCAUAUCUUUUGUGAACUGAUCAUUCCUACUAAUGACAAUGACCUUGCCAGCACAGACAGAGGAAAAUCCUGGCCUAGAGGACAGCAUUUCCUGGCUCUUUCAAUAGAAAAGUCUAGAGGUGAGGUCUGGUUUUAUAAUUUUAAAAAGGCCCUUGAGCUUAGUGUCAGUUUAAACUGUCUCAGUUCCAUCAGUUAGAAACUACCCAAUAGUGAUUUAGGCUUCAGACAGAAGAGAACAGGGUUCAAAUUCCAAACCCGGCAUAUAUACAUUCACAUAACCCUUGAAACCUCUGUAAAAUGGGGAUAAGAUGACUAGAACCAAAAUAUUGUUGGAGAAAAGGGAUGGAUAAUUUUCAUUAAGUCUCUAGUUCAGGGCCUGGACCACAAUAACAAAUGUUGGUUUUCUGUUUCUGAUGCCGUGGUUAAAAUUAACAACUGGCUCAGUGCAAGUAUUCAAGCCCUAGGAGGGUGAAGGAUGCCUCUUGCCCUGGGGUUCAGAGAGGGAGAGAGUUAUGGAGGCCUUGGCCUCAGCAGUUCUGUGCAUCCAUAAUUCAACCCACGUGGGUAACUUGGUGUAUGGACGCAUGCCGUGCUGAGGCUGCAGAGCGUGUGAGCUGGGAGCACGGCUAGGGAGGCCACCUACAAUUUUAGCUCCAGCGUGGAAUUUCCUGGCUUUGGGGGGUCUGGAGUCCGAAUCUUCUCUGGUGCCUGUAGUGCUUCUGUUGCCAGAAGCAGGCGGCAGACGCAGUUUAUUUCCACCCGACCGCCCAGGGGGAGGCAGGAACCCUCCUCCGUGGCCCUCUAGCACUCAGUGCUAGCCAGGCUCCUGAGCAAGUUCCAGCAGCUCCUUCCUGUGCAAAUGCAUGUGGGCUCAAACAAUCACAUUGCUCAUUCAGGCCUGGGUGGAGAACUGUUUGUCUCUGCCUGGGAAAGAGAAGGCAGGGUUCACAGCUUCCCUAAUAAAAGGUUAAUUAUGCUGCCCUUGGGUCCUGAAAUCCAGUUAAAGAAAUUGUGGCUUCCUCCUACCUUAAUUUGUACAUGGAGGGAAAAGACCUCAUGGCUCCUGAAUAACUUAUGGUCCCAAGAUUACAAGAAAUAGAAUCCACAUCAGGCUAAUGAAAGCAAAUAAAAAAAAAUUUUUUUUUUUGAAGCUCAUAGUCGUUAGUUCAGAAAAGUGAAGGGAAAGCUGAACUUCCAGGCUUUAGAAGGACAGAAAUAAGGACAACUUGAUUCAGGAGCAGGAGCUUCUGGGAAGUCUGAAAAAGUGCCUCUAGAAAUAAUUAGUUCUAGUGAUUUACGACUUCUUUACUUGGCUCAAGAGUCAAAUUCCCUCAAAAAGGGAGUCCAACGAGUGAAGAAGUAAGAGCUCCCUCAAAUGUGCAAGUCCCAAAAUAUGAUUUGAUUGGUGGUUGUUCACCUGAUGAUCAGACUUAGCACCAAUUCACAGUAAUCAAACUCAUAAACAAUUGAUGUAUAGAUCUGACAACAUUGAAUCAGUUUACAGCAUCACCUCUACCUUCCAGGUGAACAGAUUACUUCUGUUUUUUAUCAAGUAUCUCUUCCUCCACUUCUUUCCUGGUGUCAGCACUCAAUGAAAACUGAGUUAGGCAUUAAAAAGUUCACUGAACUUGGGGAUAGGUGAUCUUAAGGGGUAAUUUUAUCCAGUCUGGGGAAUAAUUCUGACCAUCUGGCUUCUUUGUUCCAUUUUUUUCAAGGAUCCAUUCAUGUUACUCCUCAUUGCCACCCCAUCCACUCAACAGACAUGAUGUCACUUGGGUGCCUGAAUUUCUAGGCUGGAGGGCUCACUCAGGCUACCCCAAUGGGAUGCACAGUCUAUUCAUGUCACCUUAUGAGAGGGUUUUUGCCUCUCCUUAUAACUGGAAAAUGUCUUUGUUAACACAGUUAUUCUUUCCUGAGCUAAUAGUGUGCAGAGAGACAUCUGUGUAGUUGGAAGCCUUCAAGGAGGGUUUUAGAAACUAUCUGUAGCCAAUAGUUUACUGAUAGAGGGUGGAGAAUAAUAUAGCACAACAGAAAAAAACAAAAUGUGUCAUUGUUAUAACACUUCACGGUGUUGUCUUAGUAAAUCAUACACUCCACCCAGUCCAACAUCAGAACAAAAUAAAAUAAAAAACAAAAUGAAAAGAUCUCUUCCCAGCCAUUAUUCUUAAACACAUAUCAAAGACAACAAUUAAGAAUGGUGUCGUCCUUCAAAAGGAAUAAAGACUAUUGAUUUGGA